rnacentral:hammerhead_ribozyme from 1 species
AUCCAAUUGAUGAGUCCCAAAUAGGACGAAACGCGCGUCCUGGAU